ensembl:lncRNA
ACAGCACACUCCGGUUUUGUAACGACUUCCGAUGCCUUAACGAAGUCUCUGUGUUAGACAGCUACCCAUGCCCCGAGUGGAUGAACUCCUUGACCGGUUGGGGAGGGCUCGCUUCAUCUCAACUCUGGACCUCACCAAGGGGUACUGGCAGGUCCCCCCUCUCGCUGGAGUCUCUGGAAACAACGGCCUUCAGCACUCCCAGUAGCCACUGGCACUACCGGGCGCCCGCCACCUUCCAGAGGAUGAUGGACGUCCUGUUGCGACCACACCAGGCGUACGCUGCCGCCUACCUGGACGACCACCACCUGGGGGGACCAUCUGGCCUGUCUUCGAAAGGUGUUGAUGGAGCUCCACCGGGCUGGGCUCAUUGUAAACCCCCAGAAGUGCCACCUCGGCCUGGCAGAAGUCAAGUACCUCGGAUACCGGCCAGUCCCCUAACAGACCUGACCAGAAAAGGACGACCCGAGACAAUGGCUUGGAGUUCCGAGGCGGAAAAGGCGUUCCAGAACCUGAAGCAAGCCCUCACCUCCUCGCCGGUCCUGCAUGCCCCGGACUUUACUUGCCCGUACGUCGUCCAGACCGACGCCUCCGAUACCGGAGUGUGAGACCAGCGCCUGACGCUCAGCCCACACUACGUGGAAGCCCGAGGUCGUCGUUGACCCCACAGGCCACCUGAUGACCGACCACAAGCGGAGCACUAUUGUCCUCUUGCAUAUGUGUUGGACA